rnacentral:rRNA from 1 species
CCUACGGGAGGCAGCAGUAAGGAAUAUUGGACAAUGCUCGCAAGAGUGAUCCAGCCAUGCCGCGUGCAGGAAGAAUGCCCUAUGGGUAGUAAACUGCUUUUGAACUAGAGAAAAUCCCAGUACGUGUACUGGGCUGAUAGUAUAGUUAGAAUAAGCAUCGGCUAACUUCGUGCCAGCAGCCGCGGUAAGACGAAGGAUGCAAGCGUUAUCCGGAUUCAUUGGGUUUAAAGGGAGCGUAGGUGGACUGAUAAGUCAGUGGUGAAAUCUCCGAGCUUAACUCGGAAAUUGCCAUUGAUACUGUUGGUCUUGAGUACAGUUGCUGUGGGCGGAAUAUGACAUGUAGUGGUGAAAUACAUAGAGAUGUCAUAGAACACCGAUUGCGAAGGCAGCUCACAAAGCUGUAACUGACACUGAGGCUCGAAAGUGCGGGGAUCAAACAGGAUUAGAUACCCUGGUAGUCCGCACCGUAAACGAUGAUUACUCGCUGCUAGGGGGCAACCUUUAGUGGCUUAGCGAAAGCGAUAAGUAAUCCACCUGGGGAGUACGCCGGCAACGGUGAAACGUCAAAGGAAUUGACGGCGNGAGAGNGCGAGACGACGACGAGGGAGGAGG